rnacentral:lncRNA from 10 species
CCUCGCCGCGCGCCGGGACCGGGGGCCUCCCGGGGUUGCCCACGACCCACCCGGCCCGGCUGCUGAACCCAACCCGGGAGAGGCGAGCUCGGCCCUGAAACCAAAGCCACCCCUCCUUUCACGCCAGACUUCCCAAGGGCGCCGGCCCAGGUCCCGGGGCGGCUGGGUACAAUGGCUUUUUGUUUUGCUUUUGAGUUCCACUAGUUUCAAGGGUUGCUAGUUAACCCCAUCACGGGACACACUCAAAGGAUAGGCUUUUUACCAUUCUGGACCAAAGCAAGAACGCGUAUAAAGUUUUUCGGUGACGUUUUUUUCUUGGCGCAUUUAUAAGCGACCCGGGGCCGGAUUCCAGGAGUCGGCCCCACUCCUGUGUUCCUGAAGGAGCUUCUGACUCAAUCACACAGGCGUUAACUUUAGUCGGCUUCACGCGCAGUUGUAGUUUCCGAGUCUGCGUCGCAGCUGCAGGCUCCGGGGCUGCCCGCCCUAGGGGCUCCCGGGCCUCCCUGAAGCAGCUGCUCGGACUCCACGAGAGGGUAACUGGGUAUAAAGAGCGAGGGCUCAAAGUCAGAUAGGAGACCGCCUUGAAACUAGAUGACGCCACUAAGCACAGUCCCGCCGUCACUUGUACUGCGGUGGGGAAUGGUGAAAGAAGGAAUCGCCCUUAUUUUAGUUCCGAUAGACACAGCACCACUUUGAAUGUCACUUGUAGGGGAAAAAGAGCCCUCCCUUGGAGGCCAUUUUUUCCUCAGUGGAAGGUAGGCUUUGCUCAGUUUUAGAAAAGACCCCUAUUUCACCACCAGGACUGCUGCUUUGCAGAGAACACUUGGGUUUGUGCUGUUUUCCAGCCCCCCUACACCGGUGGGCCUUUGAGAACGCAUUCCUGAGGAAGGCGCCCGCCCACGUGGGUCCCAGAGCAGGCCACGCGCAUGGGAGCUGGCUAUCAUUUCCUGGUUCCAGCGAGGUCUAGGGCCGCGUAGCGUUUCCAGAAGACAUUUUGUUUUUAUUCCACCUCUGAAAUGAGAACCGCAGGCUUUCUCUUCUACUUAAGAGUUUCACGUCAUUUUGCCAUAAGAAUGCAUCUGGUCUGAAUUUCAGGGUGAGCAUGGGCAGCGGCAGCAUUCCUGGGCCCAGGAGCAGGGCCAAUAGCUUCCUUGCACAGGCUUUGUGACAAGAAAGGCUGAGUAGCCAGGAAGUGGAAUGUUUGUAGGGAAAAGAACUCCCGUCCCCUGGGUCAGCUUACCCAUCUUGCGUAAGUCCAGUGAUUAAAUCAAUAAUGUUUCCAUAGUUGAGGAUUGAGUACGGUUUUUCUGUAUUCCCAAUAACAGGGAUUUUUAAACAUCAUAUUUCAGUCUUACUAUGUAGCCUUGAAGAAUAAUGAUGUAUUUAUUGAAAUGGAAAGAUGUUUGAGCUAUAAAGCGAAAAAUCAGAUUACUCAUUGUAUGACCCAAAUUGAUUUAUAUGUAUUCAUAUGCCUAAAAAAAUUUAUUAAGUUAACAUUUUCGGCCAGGCGCCGUGGCUCACGCCUGUAAUCCCAGCACUUUGGGAGGCCGAGGUGGGUGGAUCACCUGAGGUAGCGAGUUCGAGACCAGCCUGGCCAAUAUGGCGAAACCCUGUCUCUACUAAAAAUAAAACAAUUAUAAUUAGCUGGGUGCUGUGGCGCACGCCUGUAAUCCCAGCUACGCGGAGGCUGAGGCUGGGGCAAGAUUUCUUGAGGCCAGGAGUUUGAGACCAGCCUGGGCAACAUAGUGGGACCCAAUAUUUUGUCUCAACAAAAAGUUUUCAAAUUGGCCAGGCGUGGUGGCAUGCACCUUUAGUCUCAGCUACUUGGGAGGCUGAAGUGGGAAGAUCACAUAAGCCCAGAUGACAGUGAGCUGUCAUUGUUCCACUGCUCCCACUCUGCCUGCCCCACCCCUGAAAAAAAGAAAGAGCUAAAUAGCAUGCCUGGGUUAGUAGGUUAUUCAAAAUUCCUAACACAGCUGAUAGGUCUAAAUCGGUUCCUUUCUUUUCUCACCACAUUCCUUUGUUGAAUUAUCUAUAUAUAUACAUGGUUUCACAUGCCUGGUAGGCCCCGGUUAUCAAUGAAAUACUUCUUUUCUCAAGAUAUGAAUUCUUAAUUUUACUUUGAACUUAAAUUAACAUUAACAGAUAAUGUACGUGUAGUACAGAAAGAGAAUGCAGGCAAGCAAAAACAAAAUGAACAUAACCACCUAGAUGACAUGUUGUUUGUUUUUUGAGACGGAGUCUCACUCUGUAGUGCACUGGCACGAUCUGAGCUCACUGCAACCUCUGCCUCCAGGUUCAAACACUUCAAGCUUGAACCCGGGAGGAGGAGGUUACAAUGAGCUGAGAUCACGCUACUGCACUCCAGCCUGGGCGACAGAGUGAGACUUCAUCUCAAAAAAAAAAAAAUUAAAAUUACAAAAAUGGCCAUUGCCUAAGCAAUUUAAGAUAAUGUGAUUUACCUGAACAUUCUGAGGCUACAAAUUAAAAAGUGAUUUAAUGUGUGAUGUGAUUUAACAAAUAGUUAUUAUUUUAAAAAACAACUUAAUUUUGGUAUUUAAAUUC